rnacentral:rRNA from 1 species
CCCUUAGAUGUUCUGGGCUGCACGCGCGCUACACUGAUGCGCUCAACGAGUUUUAACCUUGCCUGGAAAGGUUGGGUAAUCUUUUUAAAACGCAUCGUGAUGGGGAUAGAUUAUUGCAAUUAUUAAUCUUCAACGAGGAAUUCCUAGUAAGCGCGAGUCAUCAGCUCGUGCUGAUUACGUCCCUGCCCUUUGUACACACCGCCCGCCGCUCCUACCGAUUGAGUGAUCCGGUGAAUAAUUCGGACUGCGGCAUUGACCGGUUCCCGAUCGUUGCUGCGGAAAGUUUAGUGAACCUUAUCACUUAGAGGAAGGAGAAGUCGUANCA